GAUGAACGCUGGCGGCGUGCCUAAUACAUGCAAGUCGAGCGAACAGACGAGGAGCUUGCUCCUCUGACGUGAGCGGCGGACGGGUGAGUAACACGUGGAUAACCUACCUAUAAGACUGGGAUAACUUCGGGAAACCGGAGCUAAUACCGGAUAAUAUAUUGAACCGCAUGGUGCAGUAGUGAAAGACGGGUUUGGUGUGACUUAGAGAUGGAUCCGCGCGUCAUUAGCUAGUUGGUGAGUUAACGGCUUACCAAGGCGACGGUGCGUAGCCGAGCUGAGAGCGGGAUGGCCCACACUGGGAGUGAGCCGCGGUCCUGGGGCUUACGGGCGGCACCAGUAGCGAAUGGUGGGCAAUGGGCGGAAGCCUGACGGAGCGACGCCGCGCUGGUGCUGAAGGUCUUCGGGUCGUAAAACUCUCUUAUGAGUGAAAAACAAAUUUGUACAUGACUAUGCACGUCUUGACGGUACUUGGUCAGAAAGCCCCGGCUAACUACGUG
rnacentral:rRNA from 1 species